ACGGGACUCGUCGAUGAAGCCUCUGCCUUUUCUAUUUAAAGGUGUCACCAAGGUAGCCUUGGGCACGGGCCGAGGAGUCAGGAGUCACGGCUUACCCCGUGACAAUGGCAUCAGCCUCGGAGCGUGGCCAAAGGGUGCGGCCCCAGGAGUCGGGCAUUCCUAGGAGAACGCUGACUAAGAAACAGCAGGGAGUUGUUGAACAACAGUGCCAGCAGGAACUUCCCAGAUGUUGAGGCUGCCUUCUUUUGCACCUGACACG